rnacentral:lncRNA from 14 species
AGAAACAGCAAGCAGCCAGCAAGGAGGAGCUAGAAGCAGUAAAGGGUAAGAUGAUGGCAUGCAAACACUGCAGUGAUAUCUUCAGCAAGGAGGGAGCUGGAAAGCCCGUGGCCAUAAGUAGAGAAGACCAGGGACUUGAGGCAGAUGAUGAGAAGGACUCACUCAAGAAGCAGCUGAGGGAGAUGGAGCUGGAACUGGCACAAACUAAGCUGCAGCUGGUGGAAGCCAAGUGCAAAAUCCAGGAACUCGAGCAUCAGAGAGGAGCGCUUAUGAAUGAAAUACAAGCUGCAAAAAACUCUUGGUUUAGUAAAACCCUGAACUCUAUCAAAACAGCCACAGGCACCCAGCCACUCCAGCCGCCACAGGCUCCCCAGCCACCCAAGGAGAGCACAUAGCUCCAGCCUCCGCCAAGCACAAGAGCACAAUGAUCAAAACAACGGAAACCAAGAAGUUUUCCUGUUGUCCCUUUGAAGAAAGUAAAGGAGACCAGAAAGCAAGUUAGACUCUUCUCGGUAGCUCUGUCUUUCAUGUAUGACAUUUUUCAAAGGGAUGUUAUUUAAACUGACCUGAUUUAUGUUGAAUAUCUAUUUCCAGCUUCUUCAUGGGAAGCCACAUUCAGAUCCGUCAUAGUAUUACACAUUGUUUUAUAUGCCUGAAAUUUAGUUGGAAAUGGGUAAUCUAGAACUAAAUGCUUUUGUUUAGAAUUAACUUCAUAAUAAUUUUUAAUCUUACAUAAAAUGGAGACAUGUUAUCCCAAGGCUAAAAUGGUAAGAUCUCUGUCACAGAAUUCUGUUUUUAAAGGGAAACUAAACCUCUUUAACGUUCCAGGAUUAUUCAUAAAAAGCACACCGUGGGGCCGCACAUGAGCACUGACAGGUCUCACACUGAAGUGACGUCAACACUGAAGUGCUACCCUUUUCCAAUUAAACAACAGACCAGGGGGUGGCUUGCAAGUUUCCCUCUAACUAUUCUGAGUUGGCUACAUUU